AUUUGACAAUGUAAGAGGAAAAAAUUGUCAGUGCCUCUGACUAAAUAGUCAGGAAUUACAUGUUUUAAAAAUUCUUGUGGCCACUUGUUUAAUGUCACUGGUCCUAGGUAAGACAUUGUUUUGACCAGUGAAAUGUAAUAUUUUCUAUUUCUUGUCAUUUCCCUCCUGUCAAAUGAGAUUCUGUGUAAUUUCCAUUUUCUGAGACCUCUUAACUUUUAUUCAGGUUUUAAAAAUUAGGCUCCUUUGAUUCUAAUUUCAAAAUAACCCACUUUAUAACUUUUUAUUUUAAAAUAUGAAAUCAUUGCUGCUUACCAAAUACAAAUAUAUACACAA